UUUUCCCUCUCGUGGUAUCCAUUCCGUGGCUCUUACUGUCCACCUAUAAUGAGAGCGACGGAAUGGAUACCACGAGAGGGAAAA
rnacentral:pre_miRNA from 1 species